CUACCCCUUCCUUACUCCAGCCGCACUGACUCUGGUGUGGUCUGGCAUUGAUGGGGGAAACAUGAUCUGCUCCACCACACACACGCACUGGUUAUAUUCAGUGCACGACUAGUGGUGGAGCGAACACG